CCAGGGGCUUUCCCUGCACAAGCGGCGGAACAAGUUGGGAACUACUGGUCUAGGAUGAGGGCAGGGGGUGGGAGCCCUCCUAGGUCUGGUAAUGGCUAGAGACAGCCCUGAGUAAUAUGUGAGGGGGCUAUAAAAGAUAAUAGAUGGCAGCGGAUAUUAAGGGCAAUGACAUAACUCAACCUCCUUAUAUAUUGUAGCUGAUGGAUUUAAAUAUGCGCCAGGAUAAAUCUUGGUGAGAGAACAUUGAAAUGUCAAGAGAGAAAUCAAUCGAUCAGAGACCCGAAGAAGGACGCCAGGGUUCGGCCUGGUAUUUUUCAACUCGGUCUGUGGAUGAUAAGUCAGGGCAGCAAGUAAACUUCCCCUUAGCAAGUUUAUAGAAAGAAGCAGCAGAGAGUCGGCUGCUGGCACCACACCAGUCUGAGAACGCUGCCACGCAUAGGGUCGGCCUGAGUUCUCCAGCCGAUGGGCUCUCAAGGUAAUGCAGGACAGCUGUGGAGGACGAAAAAUGACAUUGGACUUUGUGGAUAAUUCCCUCCACCUCCCAAAGUUGUUUUUUUUUUUUUCAUUGAAGCCGAGUCCCCCUCAAACUGUUGUUUUCAAACACCUCGAAACCGGGAAAGGUUCUGUGUUUUCAUCCAAAAAGGGGGAAAAAGGAAAAUUUCACUCCAAAUAGAAAUUUUUCAUGAAAAUGGUCGUUUUGGUCAAACCAACCAAGAAAAAAAACACAAACUUUUCAUAAAAAAGUUUAGAUGAAAAAUAUUCCAACCAGCCCUGCCUGGGAGUGCGAGGCGUUUCCUGCUGCCACUGUCUCUCUGUGGCUGUGCGUGGCCAGAAGUGUCUGCUCUGUGGAGCCCACGGGAUGAGGCUAGGACGGGCAUGGGCUCUCUGCCAUCAGGACUGCUGAGCUGAGCCAUGGGAAAUCUCUCUCCCACAUUGUCCAGGUUUUAAAGGCCAGAUUCUCAAAUGGGCUAGGAGCGCCCCCCCUUUGAUGUGAGUGGCGGCAGGUCUUGGCCUGUUGGGAAGUCCCUCCCUAAAGGUUCCUGUCUUGUCGCUCAGAGACACCCCGCAGCCCAGUCACGCUCUGGGUGACUCACAUGGGCAGGUUGCUGGAUUUUGAACGGGGGGACGAUCGUUCCCACGUUCCAGAAACGCUUUGUAUUGGCUUUGUGCCACAGCACGAGGAAACUAAGGGGCUGCCUCGGCCAAUAGCUGCUCCGGCCAUGUCCAGCGGACGCACUCUGUGCGGGGCACGUUCGGGGUUUUCAAGGCCCGACGGGUCCAUCGUGACCAUCUAGCCUGAGCUGCUGCCAUCGCCCGAGUCAGAGGGGCUCGCGCCAUGACUCUCGCCGUGACGUGUGGUGUACCAGAGCCGGGGGCCGAGCGCUGAAUUCCAGUUAUAGUCGGAGGCCAUGGAGCAGGGCAGGAAGAACACACGCUGGAAGGAACCCGUCCUCCGACCCCUCGUACCUGUCUUCUCUGCUACACAACAGAUCAGGCGCCGAUGGCUUUCCACAAAGAAUACAGGGAACAGAAUGAGCCCCCAUCCGCCCGACUCCAGACCGGGACUCAGCCUGACGCAGCCUGUGAAGCCGCGGCGGAUUCAGACAGAGCGAGCCAGGGCCGGGGGAGAGACGGACCAUGAGGGUAAGUGGCACCAAAUUGGAAUAUUAUCCACAUUUCAUCACUUGGAGCCUUGCUGACAACCUGCAGUAAACAUCAUGAUAUCUAGUGAAUCGCAGCCAGCCAGGUGCCUCAUCCAUUUCACUUUUCUCCCCACCCCCCAGUCUCAUGGGCAUGAAGAUUUCCCUUUUGCUCCAGGCGUCUGGGCAGCAGCACCUGGUUUUUUAAACCCCGUCUCAUCCGUGGUUGUUAUUUAUCAGCUCUCUGAGGCUGAGCUCGGGCAGUAGGAAGCACUUAGCCCCGGAGGUGGAGAAACAGGCUCGGCUGACGGAGCCACUCGUCUUGUUAUGGGCCCAGUGCUGGCUUGAUUCUUGCGGGAGAGA